rnacentral:rRNA from 1 species
CAGCAGCCGCGGUAAUACGAAGGGUGCAAGCGUUAAUCGGAAUUACUGGGCGUAAAGCGUGCGUAGGCGAUUUGUUAAGACAGAUGUGAAAUCCCCGGGCUCAACCUGGGAACUGCAUUUGUGACUGGCAAGCUAGAGUGUGGCAGAGGGGGGUGGGAUUCUGCGUGUAGCAGUGAAAUGCGUAGAGAUGUGGAGGAACACCGAUGGCGAAGGCAGCCCCCUGGGCCAAUACUGACGCUCAUGCACGAAAGCGUGGGGAGCAAACAGGAUUAGAUACCCCUGUAGUCCCUGUCUCUUAUAA